AUUGAACGCUGGCGGCAGGCCUAACACAUGCAAGUCGAGCGAGCGGCGGACGGGUGAGUAAUGUAUGGGGACUGCCCGAUAGAGGGGGAUAACUACUGGAAACGGUGGCUAAUACCGCAUACUAUCGGAUAACCCAUAUGGGAUUAGCUAGUAGGUGGGGUAAAGGCUCACCUAGGCGACGAUCCCUAGCUGGUCUGAGAGGAUGAUCAGCCACACUGGGACUGAGACACGGCCCAGACUCCUACGGAGGCAGCAGGAGGGAAUAUGCGGCAAUGGGCGAAAGUCUGAUCGAGCAACGCCGCGUGUGUGAAGAAGGCUUUCGGAUCGUAAAGCUCUUUUGGUCGAGAAGCGGUAUCUAAAGAGAAAGCCACGGCUAACUACGUGCCAGCAGCCGCGGUAAUUC
rnacentral:rRNA from 1 species